rnacentral:lncRNA from 1 species
UCGAUUGUCUUGGUGAGUCAUAUCCGAGCAAUUCACUUCUCAACUAGUUGGUCUUGUGAGUCAUAUCAAGCAACCAGUUCGAGAUCUUCUUUGGCGGACUUGUGAGUCAUAUCAAGCGCCAUUGAAGUCGGGAAUAUCAAGGGAACAUCCGCAACCCUUGUGCGACCCAACGUUCCAUCAGUUCUCCUUUCCGGAGUUCAUAUCCAAACGAAUCCAGUCGAGGGAAAUCUGAUCUUAG